rnacentral:rRNA from 1 species
AGAGUUUGAUCCUGGCUCAGGACGAACGCUGGCGGCGUGCUUAACACAUGCAAGUCGAGCGGAAAGGCCCUUCGGGGUACUCGAGCGGCGAACGGGUGAGUAACACGUGAGCAAUCUGCCCUUAGCUUCGGGAUAGCUCCGGGAAACCGGAAUUAAUACCGGAUACGACCUAGGCUGACAUCGGCCAUGGUGGAAAGAUU